GAUGAACGCUAGCUACAGGCUUAACACAUGCAAGUCGAGGGGCAGCAUGGUCUUAGCUUGCUAAGGCCGAUGGCGACCGGCGCACGGGUGAGUAACACGUAUCCAACCUGCCGUCUACUCUUGGACAGCCUUCUGAAAGGAAGAUUAAUACAAGAUGGCAUCAUGAGUCCGCAUGUUCACAUGAUUAAAGGUAUUCCGGUAGACGAUGGGGAUGCGUUCCAUUAGAUAGUAGGCGAGGUAACGGCCCACCUAGUCUUCGAUGGAUAGGGGUUCUGAGAGGAAGGUACCCCACAAGGGAAAUGAGACACGGACGAAAAUGCUACGGGAGGGAGCAGUGAGGAAGAUAGGGCAAGGGGAGAGAGCAUGAACCAGCCAAGUAGCGUGAAGGAGGACUGGGCUAUGGGUGGUAAACUUCUGUUAAAAAGGAAUAAAGUCGGGUAAGGAUACCCGUUUGAAUGUACUUAAUGAAUAAGGAUCGGCUAACUCCGUG
rnacentral:rRNA from 1 species